rnacentral:lncRNA from 1 species
UAAUUAAUUAAUCAAUCAAUUAAAUAAAAACCAAACCAUCUUCGUCUUUAACUCAAAAUUUCUUCUUCUUUAAACUCAUAAAUUUUCAGACAUGAACUUAAAUCCUUAAAGUUUUCAUUUUUUCUCCUUUCUCGCACAAUAUGCAUCAUCAAAAUACAUAGAAACCUUAUUAUGACCACAUAAAAGCCAUCUCAACAAUUGCUUCUCUCAACUCUCAACUCUUGCAUUCUCUCAUUUUCCCCCAAAUCUCUCUUUCAAGUUGGUUCAACUUUUCCAAUCCACGAACAAUCUCAACAAUUCCUUUCUCUCACAUUCACAAUUUCAAAAUCUCACCAACGAUCUCAAAUCUCAAAUUUUCAGACCCCACCAACAAUCUCUUCAACCCUUUUUUCAUCUAUUCUUCAACCUCAUCUCAACUCUCAGUCCUUCCAUUUCAACAUAAGACCUUUGCCCUUAACGACCCCACUGUCGCUGCCAACAAAAGUGGAUUUUACGCGUGAGAGUGAAGAGAGAGCGACUUUGACACAAUUGUCGUUAUCGCCGAUGGAGAUUUUGAGUGUGUCGUUGAGAGUUGAUCUGCAGUGGUGUAAGAGGUUGAAGGAGUCACUAGUUUAGUAGCCAAAUAGAGAUUUAUGUGUAUAUGUGUUUGUCUUGGAAACACAAACGGAGUUGAAUUUGUGCUUGUGGUCUUGCCGAUAGUUUUACUCUGUUAGGCAAACAAGUUGAAGAGGGGAAUUUGGAAGGAUAAAGGUGUUGGGUUUGUGGAGAUGGGGUUUGAAUUUUGAAUUAAUUUAUGGGUUGGAUGACAUACGUUUAUAUGGAUGAAUUUAUGAGA